rnacentral:rRNA from 1 species
GAGGCAGCAGUGGGGAAUAUUGGACAAUGGGCGCAAGCCUGAUCCAGCCAUACCGCGUGGGUGAAGAAGGCCUUCGGGUUGUAAAGCCCUUUUGUUGGGAAAGAAAAGCAGUCGAUUAAUACUCGGUUGUUCUGACGGUACCCAAAGAAUAAGCACCGGCUAACUUCGUGCCAGCAGCCGCGGUAAUACGAAGGGUGCAAGCGUUACUCGGAAUUACUGGGCGUAAAGCGUGCGUAGGUGGUUGUUUAAGUCUGUUGUGAAAGCCCUGGGCUCAACCUGGGAAUUGCAGUGGAUACUGGGCGACUAGAGUGUGGUAGAGGGUAGUGGAAUUCCCGGUGUAGCAGUGAAAUGCGUAGAGAUCGGGAGGAACAUCCAUGGCGAAGGCAGCUACCUGGACCAACACUGACACUGAGGCACGAAAGCGUGGGGAGCAAACAGGAUUAGAUACCCUGGUAGUCCACGCCCUAAACGAUGCGAACUGGAUGUUGGGUGCAAUUUGGCACGCAGUAUCGAACCUAACGCGUUAAG